GAUGAACGCUGGCGGCGUGCUUAACACAUGCAAGUCGAACGGUGAACACGGAGCUUGCUCUGUGGGAUCAGUGGCGAACGGGUGAGUAACACGUGAGCAACCUGCCCCUGACUCUGGGAUAAGCGCUGGAAACGGCGUCUAAUACUGGAUAUGUGACGUGACCGCAUGGUCUGCGUUUGGAAAGAUUUUUCGGUUGGGGAUGGGCUCGCGGCCUAUCAGCUUGUUGGUGAGGUAAUGGCUCACCAAGGCGUCGACGGGUAGCCGGCCUGAGAGGGUGACCGGCCACACUGGGACUGAGACACGGCCCAGACUCCUACGGGAGGCAGCAGUGGGGAAUAUUGCACAAUGGGCGCAAGCCUGAUGCAGCAACGCCGCGUGAGGGAUGACGGCCUUCGGGUUGUAAACCUCUUUUAGCAGGGAAGAAGCGAAAGUGACGGUACCUGCAGAAAAAGCGCCGGCUAACUUCGUG
rnacentral:rRNA from 1 species